rfam:Candidatus Entotheonella sp. TSY2 genomic scaffold TSY2_scaffold00270, whole genome shotgun sequence.
GCGGCUGUAGCCCAAUUGGAAGAGGCGCUAGCCUUAGAAGCUGGAGGUUGCAGGUUCGACUCCUGCCAGCCGCA